ACACACAUAGUAAAAAAUUCCCCAACACGCUAUAAAGGAGGGAAAGUCAACCGUGCCAUCAAAUUUUCCCAAACAUGUAUGUAUGAACAAACUUGAUGAUUUGGCGAUCUGUGAACCAGCAAUCCAGGCAUCCAGCCACACGCGGGCUACACAAGCCAGAAGUCGUUGGAUUGAAUCGGAGUUCACCAGUAGCAGCCGCCGUCGUGCCGUGCCUGGGUCAUUAGAAGAGCCUCCUGCUCUGGGCUUCCAUGGAAGUGAGGUUGCAAAGGUUAAAAUUAUAGCACUCCAUCAUCCUUAAGUAGUGUUUCUGGGAGAGUGGACGCCGGAGAGAGGAUCAGGUGGAAGAGAGGGUGACACGACGGACGGCGGCGUGCCGUGGUGAGAACUGGCGGCGGUGUUAGGUUUUUCACGUCUCUAAUCUGCUCGGGGUGGGAGGAGGUGUGGGGUGUUUU
rnacentral:lncRNA from 1 species